UUGUUUGCGACGCCCCUAACGACGGAUAGAGUUUGAGCGGGAACAAAUUGGGCGCUUAGGGUAUGAGCGCGCGCGCUCCUUUUUUCUUUUUCCCAACGCAGCCUUAGUGCUCUCCCUCAACCGUUUCCGUUUCCUUUUCCUUUUCUCUCAAAGAUUCAAUCGAAAAUUCUGGAGUUGUAUCAGAGUUACGGAGCACAAUCAGAGUUCAGGUAAGCCACUACAACCAUCUCCAUCUUCUUUCUUUUUUGAUUCCAUAAGUCUUGCUAAGUGAUUUAUAAGGUUUCUGUCAAAGACGCACAUAUCUGCUAAAUGUCUUCCAAAACCUAGGGUCUUUGGCAUCCGGGAUUGGGAUGUCUUUCUUUUUUCCACCCAUUCUGCUCAGAAUCGGUUUGAUCAUCUUCCUCAGUACCUUGUUAAAUCCCAACCCACGUCUUUGAUUGCUAAGUGAUUCCAUAAGUCUUGCUUAGUUCUCUCCCUCAGCCUUAGUUUUCUCCCUCAACUGUUUCCGGUUCCAAUUAUUAGUUUGGACUGGACAACGCCUGCGUUCUGGGCUGCAGGUUUUCUUAAUAUGUUUACAGCACAAACAGAAAAUUUUAGUUAAAAACAAACCCUGUUUUCUUAAUAUGUUUACAGCACAAAUAGUAAUUGAUUUUUAGGGGGAUUGUGCUUCUUGAUAAAUAUUUGGUGUCUUUGCAGAUACUUUAUCUUUAGGGGGAUUGUGCUUCUUGAUUUUGUACGUGCCUUUAUUUUUAAUUCGUGGACAUCUUGCCCAAUUUUUUUUUUUUUUUUUUUUUUUGUAAUUUUGUUGGCAUUUGCAACAAUAUUUGGCUUCUUCUUCUUCCUUAAAAAUAUGGUGAAUGAUUAGAGUGUACCUUUUACAGGCGUUGCUUUUCCAUAGAUUGGGAAGAUCUUGGAGAAGGCCCUCGCACAAGGUAAAGUGGAUGAUGUAGGAUUGUUUUUUUGUGUGCUGACUAAAAGUUUACCUUGGAGUAAUCUCUUAUUUGUGACACUCCUUGAAAUUCUGGAUAUAUUUUCUUUGAGUAUCAUAUGCAAAAGUCAAGUUGCCCAAAGUUCAGAGGAUACAUUGAAUGAAGAAUUGGAUAUGUAUUUCGUAUUUGCUACCCAAGAAUAUGACCGUUUGGAUUGUUAAUUACCCAUUCCUAGCUAGUUCAUGUGUUAGGUAGGUGAAUGAUGGGGAUUAGUAGUGAGUUUAUCUAAUUUUUAAGUGAUAGUUGAUGGCAGACCUAGAGUUUGUCUAAUUACCCAUUCAACUCAUAUUAUAUAAGCCCACCUUUUAAAACUCAAUUGCUUCCCUUUAUUAUUUAUUUUUUUUAAUAACUAGUAUUAUCAUUAUGAAUGUUGAGAUAACUCUGUAUGUGUAUCGCCUAUUCCGAGCUCACACAUUAUCAUGCGUUAAUGCAUAUUCUUUUGUGUUAAAGUAGAAUAUUGUUUUUGGAAUAGUUUGGAUUGACAACUUAUCUCAUAUUGCUUAGUGUUUGACAUUUCUUUUGUAGUUCAAAUAUUUUGGAUUAACUAUAGAGAUCAGAUCAAGGGUGC
rnacentral:lncRNA from 1 species